UGGACAGAUUAUUGUAUUCGACUGUAUUCACGGUGUGAAAUAUGGAAUUACACUGUUUUUAAACGGAAAGUGAAUCAAUUAACAUAAUAGACUCCU
rnacentral:pre_miRNA from 1 species